rnacentral:rRNA from 1 species
GGGGAAUAUUGCACAAUGGGCGAAAGCCUGAUGCAGCGACGCCGCGUGAGGGAUGACGGCCUUCGGGUUGUAAACCUCUUUCAGCAGGGAAGAAGCGAAAGUGACGGUACCUGCAGAAGAAGCACCGGCUAACUACGUGCCAGCAGCCGCGGUAAUACGUAGGGUGCGAGCGUUGUCCGGAGUUAUUGGGCGUAAAGAGCUUGUAGGCGGUUUGUCGCGUCUGCAGUGAAAAUCCGAGGCUCAACCUCGGACUUGCUGUGGGUACGGGCAGACUAGAGUAUGGUAGGGGAGACCGGAAUUCCUGGUGUAGCGGUGGAAUGCGCAGAUAUCAGGAGGAACACCGAUGGCGAAGGCAGGUCUCUGGGCCAUAACUGACGCUGAGAAGCGAAAGCAUGGGGAGCGAAC